UGCACAAUUAGGCUACAUUCAGACUCUAGACCAAAGUGACCCAAAUCCAACUUUUUUUUGUUCAUAUCUGAUUUUUCAUGACAGUGUGAACAGCCCAAGUCACAUGGCAUCCAAUCUUUUCCAGUUCUGAUUUGGGCCACUUUCAUAUGUGGUCCAAAUCCGUUACAGGUCAGAUCUUUGAGUCAA